rnacentral:rRNA from 1 species
GGAAGGGGAGUGAAAGAGAUCCUGAAACCGUGUGCCUACAAGUAGUCAGAGCCCGUUAACGGGUGAUGGCGUGCCUUUUGUAGAAUGAACCGGCGAGUUACGAUCCCGUGCAAGGUUAAGCAGAAGAUGCGGAGCCGCAGCGAAAGCGAGUCUGAAUAGGGCGCAUGAGUACGUGGUCGUAGACCCGAAACCAGGUGAUCUACCCAUGUCCAGGGUGAAGUUCAGGUAACACUGAAUGGAGGCCCGAACCCACGCACGUUGAAAAG